AUUGAACGCUGGCGGCAGGCCUAACACAUGCAAGUCGAACGAGUGGCGGACGGGUGAGUAAUGUCUGGGAAACUGCCCGAUGGAGGGGGAUAACUACUGGAAACGGUAGCUAAUACCGCAUACCAUCGGAUGUGCCCAGAGGGGAUUAGCUAGUAGGUGGGGUAAAGGCUCACCUAGGCGACGAUCCCUAGCGGGUCUGAGAGGAUGACCAGCCACACGGGAACUGAGACACGGUCCAGACUCAUACGGGACGCAGCAGGGGGGAAUAUUGCACAAUGGGCGAAAGCCUGAUGCAGCCAUGCCGCGUGUAUGAAGCAGGCCUUGGGGUUGUAAAGUACUUUCAGCGGGGAGGCGUUACCCGCAGAAGAAGCACCGGCUAACUCCGUGCCAGCCGCCGCGGUAAUAC
rnacentral:rRNA from 1 species